GCUGACGACCGGCGCACGGGUGCGUAACGCGUAUACAAUCUACCUCUUACUGAGGGAUAGCCCAGAGAAAUUUGGAUUAAUACCUCAUAGUAUGUUGAUUUGGCAUCAGAUUAACAUUAAAGGUUACGGUAAGAGAUGAGUAUGCGUUCUAUUAGCUAGUAGGUAUGGUAACGGCAUACCUAGGCAACGAUAGAUAGGGCCCCUGAGAGGGGGACCCCCCACACUGGUACUGAGACACGGACCAGACUCCUACGGGAGGCAGCAGUGAGGAAUAUUGGUCAAUGGAGGCAACUCUGAACCAGCCAUGCCGCGUGCAGGAAGACUGCCCUAUGGGUUGUAAACUGCUUUUAUACAGGAAGAAACACUCUCACGUGUGAGAGCUUGACGGUACUGUAAGAAUAAGAAUCGGCUAACUCCGUGCCAGCAGCCGCGGUAAUACGGAGGAUCCAAGCGUUAUCCGGAAUCAUUGGGUUUAAAGGGUCCGUAGGUGGAUUAGUAAGUCAGAGGUGAAAUCCUGCAGCUCAACUGUAGAACUGCCUUUGAUACUGCUAGUCUUGAGUCAUUAUGAAGUGGUUAGAAUGUGUAGUGUAGCGGUGAAAUGCAUAGAUAUUACACAGAAUACCGAUUGCGAAGGCAGAUCACUAAUAAUGUACUGACACUGAUGGACGAUAGCGUGGGGAGCGAACAGGAUUAGAUACCCUGGUAGUCCACGCCGUAAACGAUGGUCACUAGCUGUGUGGAUUUCGAUCUGCGUGGCUAAGCGAAAGUGAUAAGUGACCCACCUGGGGAGUACGUUCGCAAGAAUGAAACUCAAAGGAAUUGACGGGGGCCCGCACAAGCGGUGGAGCAUGUGGUUUAAUUCGAUGAUACGCGAGGAACCUUACCAGGGCUUAAAUGUAAGUUGCAUGAUUUAGAG
rnacentral:rRNA from 1 species